rnacentral:rRNA from 1 species
AUUGAACGCUGGCGGCAGGCCUAACACAUGCAAGUCGAACGGUAACAGGAAACAGCUUGCUGUUUCGCUGACGAGUGGCGGACGGGUGAGUAAUGUCUGGGAAACUGCCUGAUGGAGGGGGAUAACUACUGGAAACGGUAGCUAAUACCGCAUAACGUCGCAAGACCAAAGAGGGGGACCUUCGGGCCUCUUGCCAUCGGAUGUGCCAGAUGGGAUUAGCUGGUAGGUGGGGUAACGGCUCACCUAGGCGACGAUCCCUAGCUGGUCUGCGAAGAUGACAAGCCACACAGGAACGUAGACACGGUCCAGACGGAUACGAGAGGCAGCAGUGUGGAAUAUUGCACAAUGGGCGCAAGCCUGAUGCAGCCAUGCCGCGUGUAUGGAGAAGGCCGUCGGGUUGUAAAGUACUUUCAGCGGGGAGGAAGGUGUUGAGGUUAAUAACCUCAGCAAUUGACGUUACCCGCAGAAGAAGCACCGGCUAACUCCGUGCCAGCCGCCGCUGUAA